GAUGAACGCUGGCGGCGUGCCUAAUACAUGCAAGUCGAGCGAACAGACGAGGAGCUUGCUCCUCUGACGUUAGCGGCGGACGGGUGAGUAACACGUGGAUAACCUACCUAUAAGACUGGGAUAACUUCGGGAAACCGGAGCUAAUACCGGAUAAUAUAUUGAACCGCAUGGUUCAAUAGUGAAAGACGGUUUUGCUGUCACUUAUAGAUGGAUCCGCGCCGCAUUAGCUAGUUGGUAAGGUAACGGCUUACCAAGGCGACGAUGCGUAGCCGACCUGAGAGGGUGAUCGGCCACACUGGAACCGAGACACGGUCCAGACUCCUACGGGAGGCAGCAGGAGGGAAUCUUCCGCAAUGGGCGGAAGCCUGACGGAGCAACGCCGCGGGAGUGAUGAAGGUCUGCGGAUCGUAAAACUCUGUUAUUAGGGAAGAACAAAUGUGUAAGUAACUAUGCACGUCUGGACGGUACCUAAUCAGAAAGCCACGGCGAACUACGU
rnacentral:rRNA from 1 species